rnacentral:misc_RNA from 1 species
UCCGUGUUAACCACGGCAGUCUCGUGUGAAAAGUAACACACGAUAAGGGUUGCGCUCGUUACCCCACUGAAGGGAACAUUUCACAACACGAGCUGACGGCAACCAUGCAGCACCUGUCCAACGAUCUCGAAGCUCCGAGCGUUUCUGCUCGGAUACAGUUGGAUUUCUAACCUAGGUAAGGUUCCUCGUUUAGCAUCGAAUUAAGCCACACGCUCCACCGCUUGUGCGGGCCCCCGUCUAUUCCUUUGAGUUUUAGUCUUGCGACCGUACUACCCAGGCGGCAAACUUAACGCGUUAGCUUCGACACUGAGAGAGUCGAUACUCCCAAUGCCUAGUUUGCAUCGUUUACGGCAUGGAUUAC